rnacentral:rRNA from 1 species
UACGUAGGGCGCAAGCGUUGUCCGGAAUUAUUGGGCGUAAAGAGCUCGUAGGUGGUCUGUUGCGUCCGCUGUGAAAACCUAAGGCUUAACCUUGGGCCUGCAGUGGAUACGGGCAGACUAGAGGUAGGUAGGGGAGAAUGGAAAUUCCCGGUGUAGCGGUGAAAUGCGCAGAUAUCGGGAGGAACACCGGUGGCGAAGGCGGUUCUCUGGGCCUUACCUGACACUGAGGAGCGAAAGCCAGGGGAGCAAACGGG